CCUCUGUGGCAGUGGGAAGACGGAGAGGAGAGAGGAAUGGAGACGGAGGCUUGGGAGCUGGGACCCUGUGCUUCUGCUGAUGCUGGGAACUUGUGUCCAGCCUGGAAAC